AGGAUAAACGCUGGCGGCGUGCAUGAGACAUGCAAGUCGAACGGACGAUCAGGGCUUGCUCUGAUCGUUAGUGGCGGACGGCUGAGUAACGCGUAGGUGACCUGCCCCGAAGUGGGGAAUAACUGCCCGAAAGGGUGGCUAAUACCGCAUGUGGUGGUGCCUUCACUGGCAUCAGUAAAGCCGCAAGGCGCUUCGGGAGGGGCCUGCGUCCGAUUAGCUCGUUGGUGGGGUAACGGCUCACCAAGGCGACGAUCGGUAGGUGGUCUGAGAGGACGAUCACCCAGACUGGGACUGAGACACGGCCCAGACUCCUACGGGAGGCAGCAGUCGGGAAUUUUGCGCAAUGGACGAAAGUCUGACGCAGCAACGCCGCGUGAGGGAUGACGGCCUUCGGGUUGUAAACCUCUUUGUCAGGGACGAUGAUGACGGUACCUGACGAAUAAGUCACGGCUAACUACGUGCCAGCAGCCGC
rnacentral:rRNA from 1 species